rnacentral:rRNA from 1 species
GAUGAACGCUGGCGGCGUGCCUAAUACAUGCAAGUCGAGCGAACAGACGAGGAGCUUGCUCCUCUGACGUUAGCGGCGGACGGGUGAGUAACACGUGGAUAACCUACCUAUAAGACUGGGAUAACUUCGGGAAACCGGAGCUAAUACCGGAUAAUAUAUUGAACCGCGUGGUUCAAUAGUGAAAGACGGUUUUGCCGUCACUUAUAGAUGGAUCCGCGCCGCAUUAGCUAGUUGGUAAGGUAACGGCUUACCAAGGCGACGAUGCGUAGCCGACCUGAGAGGGUGAUCGGCCACACUGGAACUGAGACACGGUCCAGACUCCUACGGGAGGCAGCAGUAGGGAAUCUUCCGCAAUGGGCGAAAGCCUGACGGAGCAACGCCGCGUGAGUGAUGAAGGUCUUCGGAUCGUAAAACUCUGUUAUUAGGGAAGAACAAAUGUGUAAGUAACUAUGCACGUCUUGACGGUACCUAAUCAGAAAGCCACGGCUAACUACGUG